UUACCUGUUCCUUCUCCAGAGGAAGCACUUUUCAUUCAUUGCCAGGGUGUGUAUACUGGGUCCUGACAUAAAACACCGGUCUGGUUGUUACAGCCAUCUCUGUUAGAAAGAGUUAACUGCAAAAAUGAGCUGCAGAGGGCUGGGGCACCAUUGGAUAAAAUAAGUUGCGUGAAUGCUGCACAAGUUCUGUCUUUUCCUUCGUUCAGCCCAGGUCAGUUUUUACUUUUCCCAGAAGACUAGGAUAUGACAACGUGAGAGCCAGUCUGCAAGGGCCCAAGUCUGUGUCCCAUGAAACAGUCAGCACCAGAACACUGGUGAAAACUGGCUUACAGCUUCCUCUUACCACAGUGCUGAGUGGGUUCUUUCCUGUGGGUGACACCCAGUCGCCCAGAGCAGCAGUGUGCAUGGGUCAUGUUCAGUGACCCACAGAGGGGAUCAUGGGGUGGCAAAUGGAGGAGGGAGGGGGAUUUCCUCUGAACAGUGGAAGAGAAGUAUUUCAACACACUGUAUGUAAAAUGUGAUGAGGGAACUGAGGAGGGAAUAAUGCUUCUUGCUCUGUGAGACCACAGUUAUCCUUACUGGGGAGGAAACGCGCAGGGUGCCGGGGACGUCAUGGCAGGAGGGAGUUUAUACGCCACAUCUCCAGAGCAAGGUAGACUGCCACCCACCUCUGGGAGGCGAGGUCCUUUUGUGGUCAGCUUAACUGCUUGGAGUCAGGGAGGAACAUCCACCAGCUUGGGAUAGAGGGACUUCCCCCACUCCUUAGGUGUCCUGUGAGGUGAUAGGAAACCCUCUAGACACUGCGGUUCCUUCCGGCCUCAAACACCCUGGCAGCCCCUUUAACACUGGCGUCUGUGAUGGGUACUCUGCUGCUGGCUUCUGACUUGCCCCGUGUCAUUACUCCUUGUUGCUCAUGUUACGACUGCCCUUUC